UACGAAGGGUGCAAGCGUUACUCGGAAUUACUGGGCGUAAAGCGUGCGUAGGUGGCUCGUUAAGUCUGAUGUGAAAGCCCUGGGCUCAACCUGGGAAUGGCAUUGGAAACUGGCGACCUAGAGUGCGGUAGAGGGUAGUGGAAUUCCCGGUGUAGCAGUGAAAUGCGUAGAGAUCGGGAGGAACAUCCGUGGCGAAGGCGACUACCUGGACCAGCACUGACACUGAGGCACGAAAGCGUGGGGAGCAAACAGG
rnacentral:rRNA from 1 species